rnacentral:rRNA from 1 species
UACGGAGGGAGCUAGCGUUGUUCGGAAUUAUUGGGCGUAAAGCGCGCGCAGGCGGUUUCUUAAGUCUGAUGUGAAAGCCCACGGCUCAACCGUGGAGGGUCAUUGGAAACUGGGAGACUUGAGUACGGGAGAGGAGAGUGGAAUUCCUGGUGUAGGAGUGAAAUCCGCAGAUAUCAGGAAGAACACCUGUGGCGAAGGCGGCUCUCUGGACCGAUACUGACGCUGAGGCGCGAAAGCGUGGGGAGCAAAC